rnacentral:rRNA from 2 species
GGGUUGUGAGGUUAAGCGACUAAGCGUACACGGUGGAUGCCCUGGCAGUCAGAGGCGAUGAAGGACGUGCUAAUCUGCGAAAAGCGUCGGUAAGGUGAUAUGAACCGUUAUAACCGGCGAUGUCCGAAUGGGGAAACCCAGUGCAAUUCGUUGCACUAUCGUUAACUGAAUACAUAGGUUAACGAGGCGAACCGGGGGAACUGAAACAUCUAAGUACCCCGAGGAAAAGAAAUCAACCGAGAUUCCCCCAGUAGCGGCGAGCGAACGGGGAGCAGCCCAGAGUCUGAAUCAGCUUGUGUGUUAGUGGAACGGUCUGGAAAGUCCGACGGUACAGGGUGAUAGUCCCGUACACCAAAAUGCACAGGUUGUGAACUCGAAGAGUAGGGCGGGACACGUGGUAUCCUGUCUGAAUAUGGGGGGACCAUCCUCCAAGGCUAAAUACUCCUGACUGACCGAUAGUGAACCAGUACCGUGAGGGAAAGGCGAAAAGAACCCCGGCGAGGGGAGUGAAAAAGAACCUGAAACCGUGUACGUACAAGCAGUGGGAGCACCUUCGGGUGUGACUGCGUACCUUUUGUAUAAUGGGUCAGCGACUUAUAUUCUGUAGCAAGGUUAACCGUAUAGGGGAGCCGCAGGGAAACCGAGUCUUAACUGGGCGUUAAGUUGCAGGGUAUAGACCCGAAACCCGGUGAUCUAGCCAUGGGCAGGUUGAAGGUUGGGUAACACUAACUGGAGGACCGAACCGACUAAUGUUGAAAAAUUAGCGGAUGACUUGUGGCUGGGGGUGAAAGGCCAAUCAAACCGGGAGAUAGCUGGUUCUCCCCGAAAGCUAUUUAGGUAGCGCCUCGUGAACUCAUCUUCGGGGGUAGAGCACUGUUUCGGCUAGGGGGUCAUCCCGACUUACCAACCCGAUGCAAACUACGAAUACCGAAGAAUGUUAUCACGGGAGACACACGGCGGGUGCUAACGUCCGUCGUGAAGAGGGAAACAACCCAGACCGCCAGCUAAGGUCCCAAAGUCAUGGUUAAGUGGGAAACGAUGUGGGAAGGCACAGACAGCCAGGAUGUUGGCUUAGAAGCAGCCAUCAUUUAAAGAAAGCGUAAUAGCUCACUGGUCGAGUCGGCCUGCGCGGAAGAUGUAACGGGGCUAAACCAUGCACCGAAGCUGCGGCAGCGACACUAUGUGUUGUUGGGUAGGGGAGCGUUCUGUAAGCCUGCGAAGGUGUGCUGUGAGGCAUGCUGGAGGUAUCAGAAGUGCGAAUGCUGACAUAAGUAACGAUAAAGCGGGUGAAAAGCCCGCUCGCCGGAAGACCAAGGGUUCCUGUCCAACGUUAAUCGGGGCAGGGUGAGUCGACCCCUAAGGCGAGGCCGAAAGGCGUAGUCGAUGGGAAACAGGUUAAUAUUCCUGUACUUGGUGUUACUGCGAAGGGGGGACGGAGAAGGCUAUGUUAGCCGGGCGACGGUUGUCCCGGUUUAAGCAUGUAGGCUGAUUGUCCAGGCAAAUCCGGAUAAUCAAGGCUGAGGUGUGAUGACGAGGCACUACGGUGCUGAAGUAACAAAUGCCCUGCUUCCAGGAAAAGCCUCUAAGCAUCAGGUAACAUCAAAUCGUACCCCAAACCGACACAGGUGGUCAGGUAGAGAAUACCAAGGCGCUUGAGAGAACUCGGGUGAAGGAACUAGGCAAAAUGGUGCCGUAACUUCGGGAGAAGGCACGCUGGUGUGUAGGUGAAGUCCCUGCGGAUGGAGCUGAGACCAGUCGAAGAUACCAGCUGGCUGCAACUGUUUAUUAAAAACACAGCACUGUGCAAACACGAAAGUGGACGUAUACGGUGUGACGCCUGCCCGGUGCCGGAAGGUUAAUUGAUGGGGUUAUCCGUAAGGAGAAGCUCUUGAUCGAAGCCCCGGUAAACGGCGGCCGUAACUAUAACGGUCCUAAGGUAGCGAAAUUCCUUGUCGGGUAAGUUCCGACCUGCACGAAUGGCGUAAUGAUGGCCAGGCUGUCUCCACCCGAGACUCAGUGAAAUUGAACUCGCUGUGAAGAUGCAGUGUACCCGCGGCAAGACGGAAAGACCCCGUGAACCUUUACUAUAGCUUGACACUGAACAUUGAGCCUUGAUGUGUAGGAUAGGUGGGAGGCUUUGAAGCGUGGACGCCAGUCUGCGUGGAGCCAACCUUGAAAUACCACCCUUUAAUGUUUGAUGUUCUAACGUUGGCCCCUGACCGGGGUUGCGGACAGUGUCUGGUGGGUAGUUUGACUGGGGCGGUCUCCUCCCAAAGCGUAACGGAGGAGCACGAAGGUUAGCUAAUCCUGGUCGGACAUCAGGAGGUUAGUGCAAUGGCAUAAGCUAGCUUGACUGCGAGCGUGACGGCGCGAGCAGGUGCGAAAGCAGGUCAUAGUGAUCCGGUGGUUCUGAAUGGAAGGGCCAUCGCUCAACGGAUAAAAGGUACUCCGGGGAUAACAGGCUGAUACCGCCCAAGAGUUCAUAUCGACGGCGGUGUUUGGCACCUCGAUGUCGGCUCAUCACAUCCUGGGGCUGAAGUAGGUCCCAAGGGUAUGGCUGUUCGCCAUUUAAAGUGGUACGCGAGCUGGGUUUAGAACGUCGUGAGACAGUUCGGUCCCUAUCUGCCGUGGGCGCUGGAGAAUUGAGGGGGGCUGCUCCUAGUACGAGAGGACCGGAGUGGACGCAUCACUGGUGUUCGGGUUGUCAUGCCAAUGGCACUGCCCGGUAGCUAAAUGCGGAAGAGAUAAGUGCUGAAAGCAUCUAAGCACGAAACUUGCCCCGAGAUGAGUUCUCCCUGAGACUAUAAGUCUCCUGAAGGAACGUUAAAGACGAUGACGUUGAUAGGCCGGGUGUGUAAGCGCAGCGAUGCGUUGAGCUAACCGGUACUAAUGAACCGUGAGGCUUAACCUUACAACGCCGAAG